CCUACGGGAGGCAGCAGUGAGGAAUAUUGGUCAAUGGCCGAGAGGCUGAACCAGCCAAGUCGCGUGAGGGAAGAAUGUCCUAUGGAUUGUAAACCUCUUUUGUCAGGGAGCAAAGUCACCCACGUGUGGGUGUUGGAGAGUACCUGAAGAAAAAGCAUCGGCUAACUCCGUGCCCGCAGCCGCGGUAAUACGGAGGAUGCGAGCGUUAUCCGGAUUGAUUGGGUUUAAUGGGUGCGUAGGCGGGUUAUCAAGUCAGCGGUAAAAUCGUGGAGAGCAACUCCAUCCAGCCGUGGAGCCUGAUGAUCUUGAGAGGGCGAGAAGUAGGCGGAAUGCGUGGUGUAGCGGUGAAAUGCAUAGAUAUCACGCAGAACUCCGAUUGCGAAGGCAGCAGACCGGCGCCCGACUGACGCUGAAGCACGAAAGCGUGGGUAUCGAACAGGAUUAGAUACCCGUGUAGUC
rnacentral:rRNA from 1 species